CAGUCGCCACGGGAAUACGUAGGGUGCAAGCGUUAAUCGGAAUUACUGGGCGUAAAGCGUGCGCAGGCGGUUUGUUAAGACAGAUGUGAAAUCCCCGGGCUCAACCUGGGAACUGCAUUUGUGACUGGCAAGCUAGAGUAUGGCAGAGGGGGGUGGAAUUCCGCGUGUAGCAGUGAAAUGCGUAGAUAUGCGGAGGAACACCGAUGGCGAAGGCAGCCCCCUGGGCCAAUACUGACGCUCAUGCACGAAAGCGUGGGGAGCAAACAGGAUUAGAGACCCCUGUAGUCCCUGUCUCUUAUAC
rnacentral:rRNA from 1 species